ACAUGUGCUGGUUACCCGGUUAACUUUGGUCUUUUAACACAUAUCUUGUCUACUAACACAAUAACUCAGUUAAGGUGAUUGACCAAAUUUUUUUUCCCUUUGAGAAUAGGGAAAAUGAAAAUGGUUGCUAAAGAACCCUUGUGCACCCUAGGAAUGCAUAUACUAAGUAAAUUUACAAUACUUUAUUAGGAUUUAAACUAAAAUUUGAAGUUUUCCUCCAUCUUACACUUCUACCUUGGAAUGCUUUAGCAACUAACCUUCCACCUUUGUGAUUAUAUGUGCAUGUAUAAUUUGUAAUUAUCUCUAGCACUCGUUAAAUCAUUAUAGACCUUAUUUCCUAUCCAUAUGAUCUUGACAUUGGAAACCUUUUCUGUUUAUAAAUGAGUCUUUUUUCUUGAAGCUUCAAUCAUCCACUAAAUAACCAUGCUACAUUCCAGCAGGAACUUUUAUAGAACACUAUAACACCUGCUAUGUAUUAUAUACAUUACAACAAUACUCCCAAUACUAUAAACCACUGAUCAUUUUAUCAAAGAAAGAACUGCUGCUAUGUUCAUUCAUUUUCUGAUCUUUAGAAAUAAGCUUGUUUUGCACUGGGUCACAUUUAUAAAAUUGUUUGCCCUG
rnacentral:sRNA from 1 species